GUAUGUGUGAACUUAUCUAACUCUGGGGAAUAUCGUGAAUAAGAUAAAGUCCCAAAAAGUCGCCGUGUUCCUUCAACAGCCAACACAAGAUAAACAAAAUAUUAAA